CCUACGGGAGGCAGCAGUGAGGAAUAUUGGUCAAUGGGCGCGAGCCUGAACCAGCCAAGUAGCGUGAAGGAUGACUGCCCUACGGGUUGUAAACUUCUUUUAUCAAGGAAUAAAGUCAGGCACGUGUGCCCUUUUGUAUGUACUUUAUGAAAAAGGAUCGGCUAACUCCGUGCCAGCAGCCGCGGUAAUCCGGAGGAUCCGAGCGUUAUCCGGAUUUCUUGGGUUUAAAGGGAGCGUAGAUGGGUUGUUAAGUCAUUUGUGAAAGUUUGCGGCUCAACCGUACAAUGGCGAUUGAUACUGGCAGUCUUGAGUACAGUUGAGGUAGGCGGAAUUCGUGGUGUAGCGGUGAAAUGCUUAGAUAUCACGAAGAACUCCGAUUGCGAAGGCAGCUUACUAAACUGCCACUGACAUUGAUGCUCGAAAGUGUGGGUAUCAAACAGGAUUAGAUACCCUAGUAGUC
rnacentral:rRNA from 1 species